UGGGGAAUCUUGCGCAAUGCGCGAAAGCGUGACGCAGCAACGCCGCGUGAGGGAAGACGGCCUUCGGGUUGUAAACCUCUUUCAGUUGGGACGAAGGUCCACCGGUUAAUAGCCGGUCGGACUGACGGUACCUUCACAAGAAGCACCGGCUAACUACGUGCCAGCAGCCGCGGUAAUACGUAGGGUGCAAGCGUUGUCCGGAAUCAUUGGGCGUAAAGCGCGUGUAGGCGGCUUGCUAAGUCCGCUCUGAAAGCCCGGGGCUCAACCCCGGGAGGCGGGUGGAUACUGGCAAGCUCGAGUCCGGAAGAGGCGAGUGGAAUUCCUGGUGUAGCGGUGAAAUGCGCAGAUAUCAGGAGGAACACCAAUGGCGAAGGCAGCUCGCUGGGACGUGACUGACGCUGAGACGCGAAAGCGUGGGGAGCAAACAGGAUUAGAUACCCCGGUAGUCC
rnacentral:rRNA from 1 species